CUGCUUUGGCAGCACAUAUACUAAAAUUGGAAUGAUAUAGAGAAGAUUAGCAUGGACCCUGCACAAGGAUGGCAUGCACAUUCAUGAGGCUAGUACCAUUUUA